CCGCCGGCGACCGGCGCACGGGUGAGUAACACGUAUGCAACCUGGCCGUGACAGAUGGAUAACCGGGAGAAAUCCCGCCUAAUACAACAUAAUGCCGGGAGGGGACAUCCCCGUGCCGGUCAAAGGGGGCGACCCCGGUCAUGGAUGGGCAUGCGGCGCAUUAGGUAGUUGGUGGGGCAACGGCCCACCAAGCCGACGAUGCGUAGGGGUUCUGAGAGGAAGGUCCCCCACAUUGGAACUGAGACACGGUCCAAACUCCUACGGGAGGCAGCAG
rnacentral:rRNA from 1 species